rnacentral:rRNA from 1 species
UACGUAGGUGGCAAGCGUUGUUCGGAAUUAUUGGGCGUAAAGGGCGCGUAGGCGGUUUGUUAAGUCAGCUGUGAAAGCCCGGGGCUCAACCCCGGAGGGUCAGCUGAUACUGGCAGGCUAGAGUACAGAAGAGGUAACUGGAAUUCCCGGUGUAGCGGUGAAAUGCGUAGAUAUCGGGAAGAACACCCGUGGCGAAGGCGGCUCUCUGGAACGCAACUGACGCUGAGACGCGAAAGCGUGGGGAGCAAACAGG